rnacentral:rRNA from 1 species
UACGAAGGGGGGCUAGCGUUGCUCGGAAUUACUGGGCGUAAAGGGCGCGUAGGCGGAUAGUUUAGUCAGAGGUGAAAAGCCCAGGGCUCAACCCUGGAAUUGCCUUUGAUACUGGCUAUCUUGAGUUCGGGGAGAGGUGAGUGGAACUCCGAGUGUAGAGGUGAAAUUCGUAGAUAUUCGGAAGAACACCAGUGGCGAAGGCGACUCACUGGCCCGAUACUGACGCUGAGGCGCGAAAGCGUGGGGAGCAAACAGG